UACGGGGGGGGCAAGCGUUGUUCGGAAUUACUGGGCGUAAAGGGUUCGUAGGUGGCUUGCUAAGUCACACGUGAAAUCCCUCAGCUUAACUGGGGAACUGCGUGUGAUACUGGCGAGCUUGAGUGCAGGAGAGGAACGCGGAAUUCCAGGUGUAGCGGUGAAAUGCGUAGAUAUACGGAGGAACACCAGAGGCGAAGGCGGAUCGCUGGGCCAACACUGACGCUGAUGUGCGAAAGCUAGGGGAGCAAACGGG
rnacentral:rRNA from 1 species